ensembl:lncRNA
GUGAGGUUACCCAACAAGCAGGCCCUUCCCCAUCAGUCGUGGCUGAGCCAGGGGUAACCUGCUCUCCCAGCUCCGCCUCCCCACCCCAGCACAGACUGCAAGGGACAAAGGAAGCAAGACCCGCUUCUGGGAGUAACCUCACCUCCAAGCCACCUCCUACGUCAGCUCAUCCUGGGGCCAUCCCAAGAAGGAGGCACCGGUGUCCCCCAACCACUUAACGAGGAAACCUGGGCAGAGAGGUGGCGGGGCAUUUCCAUGGUCCCCGAGCCACGGAAGAAACAGUUCUUGAAGAAGACUUGGAAACACCUCCUCGUGGCACAGCAGUAAAGAUUCUGCGUGUCAGCGCAGGAGAUGCAGGUUCGAUCCCUGUUCCAAGAAGAUCCCACGUGCCGAGAAGCAGCUAAGCCCAUGUGCCACAACUACAGAGCUUG